UACGAAGGGGGCUAGCGUUGUUCGGAAUCACUGGGCGUAAAGCGUGCGCAGGCGGUUCGUUGUGUCUGAUGUGAAAGCCCCGGGCUCAACCUGGGAAUGGCAUUGGAAACUGGCGAGCUAGAGUGUGGCAGAGGGGGGUGGAAUUCCGCGUGUAGCAGUGAAAUGCGUAGAUAUCGGGAGGAACACCAGUGGCGAAGGCGACUCUCUGGCCUGUAACUGACACUGAGGCGCGAAAGCGUGGGUAGCGAACAGG
rnacentral:rRNA from 1 species